GACGAACGCUGGCGGCGUGCCUAAUACAUGCAAGUAGAACGCUGAAGGAGGAGCUUACUUCUCUGGAUGAGUUGCGAACGGGUGAGUAACGCGUAGGUAACCUGCCUGGUAGCGGGGGAUAACUAUUGGAAACGAUAGCUAAUACCGCAUAAGAGUAGAUGUUGCAUGACAUUUACUCAAAAGGUGCAAUUGCACCACUACCAGAUGGACCUGCGUUGUAUUAGCUAGUUGGUGGGGUAACGGCUUACCAAGGCGACGAUACAUAGCCGACCUGCGCGGGUGACCGGCCACACUGGAACGGGGACACGGCCCAGACUCCUACGGGAGGCAGCAGUAGGGAAUCUUCGGCAAUGGACGGAGGUCUGACCGAGCCACGCCGCGUGAGUGAAGAAGGUUUUCGGAUCGUAAAGCUCUGUUGUAAGAGAAGAACGAGUGUGAGAGUGGAAAGUUCACACUGUGGCGGUAUCUUACCAGAAAGGGACGGCUAACUACGUGCCAGCCGCCGCCGUAA
rnacentral:rRNA from 1 species